rnacentral:other from 1 species
GGCUCCCUGCGACGUUCGAUUCCGGACAGAUAGCAUUCUUGACCCUACAAUCAUGCGCCUCAGGGGAGAUCGUUGUAACGCCUUUGGUGUGCAAGUCCGCCAUGAGCGGAAAGCCUAAAAAGUCGUUCGCUCUCCCCGACCUGAACCAGAGGGUUCAAGGGCGUUGUCCGAACGGCGUUGUGGGGAGCUC